UGCCACGAGGUUGGGGAUAGCCCAUGGAAACAUGGGGUAAUACCGAAUGAGCUCUUUUCACUAUGGUGAAUUGAGGAAAGGUGCUCCGGCACCGCCUUGUGAUGAGCCUGCGCCUGAUUAGCUAGUUGGCGGAGUAACGGCCCACCAAGGCGACGAUCAGUAGCCGGCCUGAGAGGGUGAUCGGCCACACUGGGACUGAGAUACGGCCCAGACUCCUACGGGAGGCAGCAGCUAAGAAUCUUCCGCAAUGGACGAAAGUCUGACGGAGCGACGCCGCGUGAACGAUGAAGGCCUAACGGUUGUUAAGUUCUUUUCUUGCUGAGGAAUAAGCCCGGGAGGGAACGCCCGGGUGAUGACGGUAGGCAAGGAAUAAGCCCCGGCCAAUUACGUGCCAGCAGCCGCGGUAACACGUAUGGGGCGAGCGUUGUUCGGAAUCAUUGGGCGUAAAGGGCGCGCAGGCGGUUGCGUAAGCCUGGUGUGAUAGACCGCAGCUUAACUGCGGGAUCGCGCUGGGAACUGUGUAACUAGAGUUCAAGAGGGGGAGUUGGAAUUCCAGGUGUAGGCGUGAAACCUGUAGAUAUCUGGAAGACCAUCGGUGACGAAGGCGAACUCCUGGCUAUGACCUGACGCUGAGGCGCGAAAGCGUGGGGAGCGAUCAGGACUAGAUCCCUGGUAGUCACGCCGUAACGUUGUGCACUAGUGU
rnacentral:rRNA from 1 species